rnacentral:rRNA from 1 species
UACGGGGGGGGGCAAGCGUUUGUUCGGAAUUACUGGGCGUAAAGGGCUCGUAGGCGCCAACUAAGUCAGACGUGAAAUCCCUCGGCUUAACCGGGGAACUGCGUCUGAUACUGGUUGGCUUGAGUGUGGGAGAGGGAUGCGGAAUUCCAGGUGUAGCGGUGAAAUGCGUAGAUAUCUGGAGGAACACCGGUGGCGAAGGCGGCAUCCUGGACCAUUACUGACGCUGAGGAGCGAAAGCCAGGGGAGCAAACGG